UACGUAGGGGGCAAGCGUUGUCCGGAAUCAUUGGGCGUAAAGAGCGUGUAGGUGGUCUUAUAAGUCCGCUGUGAAAGUCGGAGGCUCAACCUCCGAAAGCCGGUGGAUACUGUAAGACUAGAGUCCGGAAGAGGCGAGUGGAAUUCCUGGUGUAGCGGUGAAAUGCGCAGAUAUCAGGAGGAACACCAAUGGCGAAGGCAGCUCGCUGGGACGGUACUGACACUGAGACGCGAAAGCGUGGGGAGCAAACAGG
rnacentral:rRNA from 1 species